CCUACGGGUGGCAGCAGUGGGGAAUAUUGGACAAUGGGGGAAACCCUGAUCCAGCGACGCCGCGUGAGUGAAGAAGUAUUUCGGUACGGUAAGCUCCAUCAGCAGGAAAGAAAAUGACGGUACCUGACUCAGAAGCCCCGGCAGACUACGUCCCAGAAGCCGCGGGAAUACGGAGGGGGCAAGCGUUAUCCGGAUGUACUGGGUGUAAAGGGAGCGUAGACGGCAGCGCAGGUCUGGAGUGAAAUGCCGGGGCCCAACCCCGGAACUGCGCUUGAAACUGUGAAGCUGGAGUGCAGGAGAGGUAUGCGGAAUUCCUGGUGUAGCGGUGAAAUGCGUAGAUAUCAGGAGGAACACCGGCGGCGAAGGCGGCAUACUGGACUGUAACUGACGUUGAGGCACGAAGGCGUGGGGAGCGAACAGGAUUAGAUACCCGAGUAGUC
rnacentral:rRNA from 1 species